UUCCUUUGUUUUUAGUUUUUAGGGUUAUGUUUUUGAUUUUUGAUUGUGGUUCCAGAUUCCAGAGGUAGUUUGUGGUUUUUAAAAAAAAAUAUUUUCAGUUUAAUUUUCUGGGAUUAUUAAAGUAGUUUGGGGCUUACUAUCUAAUGUAUUAUAAGAUUUACUGUAUCAUAAAUUAACCAUUAAGCACCAAUGUUAAGGUAUAUUUUAUCAUUUUUGAGAAUAAUAGCUACAAAAAUGUUACAACUAUUAAGUUCGAGAAAACAUUUAAUAGAAAAUGUACUAAGGAUAUACAUAAAGACUACAAGUGGAAGUACUUUAUCUAUAGAAAUAGAUCCUAAAUAUGAUAUAAAACAAAUUAAAAAUUUAGUUGCUUCAAAAAUAGGAGCACAACCCGAAGAAUUAAAAAUUAUAUUUGCAGGGAAGGAGCUAGGAGAUAAUAUAAUUAUAGAAGAGUGUGAUUUAGGCCAACAAAGUAUUUUGCAUGCUGUAAAAAUUAAAAGGAAUGUACCUACAGACCAGAGCAGUUCUAAGAUGAAACCAUUAUGUGAAAUAUUAGAUGACGAAAUGUUUUCUUCCAAUAUUACCAAUAGUAGAAGUAAUUCUUUCUCUACAGAUAAUGAAGUUAUUAAUAUAUCAAACAGUGUGAUGCUUGAAAACAGUACAAUCAGAUCUAAAAAAAUUCAUUUCUAUGUUUAUUGUCCAACUUGUAAGGAUCUUAAGCAAGGGAAACUACGAGUUCGAUGUCAUUUUUGUAAAAGUGGGGCUUUUACCGUACAUGCUGACCCACAAAAUUGGAUUCACGUUUUGGAACCGAAGCAAAUUACUGGCACUUGUGAAAAUAAUCCUGAAUUAUGCAAGGACAUUCUUCAGAACAAAGAGCCAACCUUUGCAGAAUUUUAUUUUAAAUGCUCUGAACACAUAUCAUUAGGCGAAACAGAUCAGGCUGUUCCAUUGGAUCUGAUUCGUCCAAACUUGAAACAAAUCCAAUGUAUGGCCUGUUUAGACACUUCAGACACUAUAUUUGCCUUUCCAUGUCCAGAUGACCAUGUCAUGUGUUUGGAUUGUUUCAAACAAUAUUGUUUGACUAAGCUAACAGAGAGACAAUUUUGGCAACAUCCAGAAUAUGGAUAUACCCUUGCAUGCCCUACUGGUUGCCCUGAUUCUUUCAUUAAAGAAAUUCAUCAUUUUCGUUUACUGGAUGAUGAGAACUACAAUAGAUAUCAUCAUUUUGCAGCUGAAGAGUUUGUGUUGCAAUCUAACGGCUUGUUAUGUCCUCAACCUGGGUGUGGAAUGGGUAUUUUAGGUAAGAGACGGCAGUAUUUUCCUAAACGACUUCUAAAUCAUAGAGUAACGAGACUAUCGCACCGACAAGCUCUUCAUACAUGCGUUUGCUUCCAUAGAAAAAAACUGAACCCGAGUGUACGCGGAUAUCAUGCCAAAAUUGCAAAUAUGUCUUCUGUCGACACUGUCGUCAAGGUUUUCAUAUAGGAGAAUGCGACGUUGUAGAAAAUAACGACACCGCUGGUCAAAAUUUCAGUUGCGAGUCGGACAUGAAUUAUAACAAUGGAAAUAGUGGCGAAUUAGCUUCUCGAACAACUAUUAAGAUUAUGACUAAGCCUUGUCCAAGUUGUAAAACACCGACAGAACGAGAUGGGGGUUGUAUGCAUAUGAUAUGCACUCGAGCAGGAUGCAAAUUUCACUGGUGUUGGGUAUGUCAAACCGAGUGGACUACGGAAU
rnacentral:misc_RNA from 1 species